GACGAACGCUGGCGGCGUGCCUAAUACAUGCAAGUAGAACGCACAGUUUAUACCGUAGCUUGCUACACCAUAGACUGUGAGUUGCGAACGGGUGAGUAACGCGUAGGUAACCUGCCUGGUAGCGGGGGAUAACUAUUGGAAACGAUAGCUAAUACCGCAUAAUAUUAAUUAUUGCAUGAUAAUUAAUUGAAAGGUGCAAUUGCACCACUACCAGAUGGACCUGCGUUGUAUUAGCUAGUAGGUGAGGUAACGGCUCACCUAGGCGACGAUACAUAGCCGACCUGAGAGGGUGAUCGGCCACACUGGGACUGAGACACGGCCCAGACUCCUACGGGAGGCAGCAGUAGGGAAUCUUCGGCAAUGGACGAGAGUCUGACCGAGCAACGCCGCGUGAGUGAAGAAGGUUUUCGGAUCGUAAAGCUCGGUUGUAAGAGAAGAACGGGUGUGAGAGUGGAAAGUUCACACUGUGACGGUAGCUGACCAGAAAGGGACGGCUAACUACGUG
rnacentral:rRNA from 1 species